UCUGGCAACAAUCGCACCCCAACAGCUGAGAGCAUGUCGCACGGCUGAAAACCAGGAAAAUUUGCGCCGUUAUUUGUCCCCUGUUCUUUGUUUCCUAGUGCUUUAUUGGUGGUUCACGUUUCCGGUGGUUAAUCGCGGUUAUUAUGGGUGAUUUUGUCCAUGUGUAUAUAUUGACCGAGUCGAAUUGACUUCGAAGGAGGCCACAGAUGGAAUGGCCGACGGGCAGUUUUGUUUACCUUCAAGAUUCAAGAUUGAUUGGGGCUGAAAUUUUUCUGAAAGCAACAACAGGACAGGAAAUACGGGAUGUGGGCUUUGGAAGGACCAGUUGCUGAAAAAAAUCAAUGUCUGUGCUGCAAAGCAAGGCUUGCGGCAGACUUGAAAGCAUCGAUAGAUACGGUGCCUGCCCUGUUGGAAUUGCACCAGCCUGCUUCCCUGAAAAAACCUAGGUGCACAAGAAUUACUUGACUAACCUGCCCGGUAUAAUUCUGGAGGCCGUUUGAUAACUGGCCACUUCCUCGUUGGGCUCGGAUGUUCGCAGGCAUGAUAAGCUAAUUAAACUGAAUAUUUUUAAGAAA